GCUGGCGGCGUGCCUAACACAUGCAAGUCGAACGAGAAGGCAGAACCAAAUGCUUCGGUGUGCGGUUUUGCUGGGGAGUGGCGAACGGGUGAGUAACACGUGGGUGACCUGCCUCGAAGAGGGGGAUAACCAUUGGAAACGGUGGCUAAUACCGCAUGGUCCUGUUGGUAUGGGAAUAUUGACAGGUAAAGCUCCGGCGCUUCGAGAGGGGCCUGCGUCCGAUUAGUUAGUUGGUGAGGUAACGG
rnacentral:rRNA from 1 species